UUUGUCAAUCCAGAGAUACGAACCUAGCAAAGUAAAUUAGCAAGCAGUAAAAAUCGUAACAAUUGGUGUCAGAAGUGGGAUUGUCAAAUAAUCCAAAUUCAAGAUGGUUAAAUUCGGAGAAUUGAGAAUUCAGCAAUUAAAAAAGGAACUGGAGGAGCGUAAUUUGCCGAUAAGCGGGCAAAAGGCGGAUCUGCAGGCACGAUUACGUGAAGCAAUGGAAGCGGAUGGAAUUAAUGUGGACGAGUUCGAAUUUGUUGGGCCAGAAACUUCUACAAAGGUAGAAGAAAAAGUAGAAGAACAACGAACAUCAUCGAGUGUGGACAUGAACAUGCUGUUAGUGGCUAUACAGAAAAUAGCUGAAAAUACAGAAAAUGCAGUGCAAACAGGAAAUCGUCUGGCACAGUAAAUAGCGGAAAAUGCAGAAAAGGCAGUGCAAACAGAAAAUCGUCUGGCACAGCAAAUGACGCAAAUAGCUGAAAAUGCAGUGCAAACAGGAAAUCGUCUGGCACAGCAAAUGACGCAAAUAGCUGAAAAUACAUCACAGUUAGAGUCUCGCCUUACACAACAAAUGACUGAAAAUAAUACGCAGUUAGAAAAGCGUUUGGUACAACAGAUUACAGAAAGUAAUACACAAGUGCAACAGAAAGUUGCAACAGAAAAUUGGAAGACGAAUUAAGCACGUUAAAAAAUGACGAAGAAAAUUUGAAAUCAGAAGUUCUUCAUUUGAGUAAUCGGAUGCGAGAACUGCAACUGCAUGGCCCUGCACCAUCAACAAAUAAUCCAAGAUUAAAGGCACCCACAUUCGAUGGAAGUAUUCCAUUUCAAAUUUUCAAACUUCAGUUUGAAAAGACAGCAAUGGCCAAUAACUGGAAUGCAGUGGACAAAGUAGCGUCCUUGUUUGUAUCAUUGAAAGGACCUGCGGCAGAAAUCCUUCAGACUAUUCCAGACUGUGAACGGGACAACUAUGAGGCAUUGAUGAGUGCGAUAGAAAGACGAUAUGGUAGUGAGCACCGGAAACAAAUAUACCAGAUCGAACUGCAAAAUAGGGGUCAGAAAAUGAACGAGUCAUUGCAAGAGUUCGCAACUGAAAUAGAACGUCUGGCUCAUCUGGCAAAUGCAGAUGCACCUGUGGAUUACAUUGAGAGGGUAAAAAUUCAAAGCUUCAUAAAUGGAAUUCGUGAUGUGGACACCAAACGCGCCACAUAUGCAUUGCCAAAAAGAACGUUUGCUGAAACGGUUUCGCACGCCCUCACACAGGAAACAGCUUCUCUACUAACCAGCACACAAAGUACAAAGGGUUGAAAUGGAACAACCGGCGCUGAUGGAAGAAAUAUUGAAGACUCUGAAAACAAUUGCUGCACCGCAAGUAAAUACAACAGGAAGAUGUUUCAACUGUGGAAAAGCGGGUCACUUUGCCCGAAAUUGCAAUACAAAAGUAAACCCAUCAAAACGGAAACAAUCAACAGAUAACGAGGACGGAGCAUCCACAUCUCACAAGUCGUUAAACUAAAACGGAACAGUUCAAAGGGGCGUGAGCUGGUUCCCACAACUAUUUGCCCCGCCAUCUCGAUAUCACAAAUAGGUCGCCAUGACAACAAUCUUACCAUCAACGGCAUCGUAAAUGGACGACUGUCAACGCUUACUUUGGAUACUGGUGCCACACAUUCAAUUAUCCGACCGGAUGUGGUAAGAGGAACGGUUGAACCAUUAGUCGGUUGCAAGCUUCGAACGGCCACCGGGGAGGAAGCAGCUGUCGCGGGAAAAGUGUUUUGCGAAGUGAUGAUUGGUACCCUGGAAAUUAGUCACACCUUCAUCGUAGCAGAAAUCAUGGAUGAAAUUAUAAUGGGAGUAGAUUUCAUGAUUGAUCACGGGGUUACUUUGGAUUUAAACAAGCAAAUGCUGUUUUGCCAGAACAUGGAGCUGCCUAUAAACACCGGAUAUGUGACCAACGUUGAAAGUAAGAGGGUGAUUGUUGAUGAUAAUCAGAGUAUUCCACCAAAAUCUGAGGCGAUUGUAUGCGCAAAAGUGAAUGGAGGAGGUGGGACUGAAGAGUUGUGGAUUGUGGAACCAACAAAAAUAUGUAGAUACACCCAUAUUGGUAGGAAGAACGCUUGUGAAAACUAGAGAAGACGCCACCAUUCCGGUCAGAGUAGUGAAUGAAUUCAACACGCCUAUAAGUCUGAAGAAAGGAGCAGUAAUUGGACAGUGCCAGAAUAUAAGUGCAAUAGCACGAUGCGAACAGUCACAACAGAAGCCUACUAUUGAGCCACAGCAGAUAAGUCCUACACUCCUAAACAAUUUGCUGAACGAACUGCAUGGAAAUGAAAAAUUAAAAGCAGAAAAACUAUUAGAAAAAUACGCAUCCAUAUUUGCAAACGAAGGAAACACAGGAAGAACCGGCAUUGUCAAACAUCGCAUAAAUACCGGAGACGCUAAACCAAUCCGACAAGUUCCACUAGAAAAACGUGAGGAUGCUAACAAAAUUAUCGAAGACAUGCACAAAAACGGUGUAAUCGAACCUUCAAUAAGUCCAUGGAGCUCACCUAUCGUCUUAGUUAAAAAGAAAGAUGGUAGCACCCGUUUCUGCGUAGAUUAUAGGAAGUUGAAUGAUGUCACAAAGAAAGACAGUUAUCCUCUACCGAGAAUCGACGAUACAUUAGACACCUUGUCUGGAGCGAAAUGGUUUUCUACAUUAGAUCUACAAAGUGGAUAUUGGCAAGUCGAGAUUGAUGAAUGUGACCGUGAAAAGACCGCUUUCAGUAUGGGCGACGGGUUAUGGGAAUUCUCUGUGAUGCCAUUUGGGUUAUGUAAUGCGCCUGCAACGUUCGAGCGACUGAUGGAACAUGUGUUAAAAGGACUCAACUGGAAGACAUGUUUGGUGUAUCUUGAUGACAUUAUCAUCAUGGGAAAAAGUUUUGAUGAUCAUCUGAAAAAUCUAGAGGAAGUCUUUCAGCGAAUAGCAUCAGCCGGAUUACGCUUGAAUCCCAAAAAGUGUUCAUUAUGGAAGAAGCAGGUCACAUAUCUCGGACAUAAAGUGUCAACUGAGGGGAUUCACACCGAGGAGGGAAAAAUAAAAGCAGUUAAAGAUUGGCCUCAACCCACCAACAUACAAGAACUCCGCAGCUUCCUCGGCUUAUGCACGUAUUACCGCCGUUUUGUACCUGGAUUUGCGAACGUGGCUAGAAGUUUACAUGAUUUAACAAAGAAGAAUCACCCGUUUGUAUGGCAGUUGGAACAGGAAAAAGCAUUUGAGCAGCUUAAAGAAUUACUUUGUACGGCGCCGAUGUUAGCUUAUCCAAUACCUGGAAAGAAAUUCAUCCUGGAUACAGAUGCGAGUGCUUAUGGAAUUGGAGGUGUCCUGUCUCAGCUCAUCGACGGACAAGAAAGAGUAAUUGGUUAUUACAGCAGAGUGCUCGGGAAACCAGAGAAAAACUACUGUGUGACGCGGAAAGAACUACUAGCUGUGGUGGAAUGUGUAAAACAUUUCCACAAGUAUUUGUAUGGACAACGAGUCUUGCUGAGGACUGAUCAUGCAGCAUUAAAAUGGUUAUUACAGUUUAAGAAUCCGGAAGGCCAAAUUGCACGAUGGAUCGAAAGAUUACAGAAUUACGAUUUCGAAACAGAACGCCGAAAGGGGAUUCACCACAAAAAUGCGGAUGCAUUAUCACGUCGCCCUUGUCCACUGGAAUGUAAACAUUGCUCCAAAUCAGAGGGAAAAGAAGGUAUAAUCGACGUGCGAUUACUGAAUAUAGAGCCUGAAGAUGAUUGCACUCCUCACCGCAUCAGAAUCAAUCAGCUGGAGGACCCUGAUCUUGCAAAGCUGGUAAUAGCCAAAGAAAAUGGGGUACGACCACCAAAGGAACAAAUAAGUAACGAGAGUUCAACGGCAAAAGCAUAUUGGGCCCAAUGGAACAGCAUAAACCUCGUUAAUGGAUACCUUCAUCGUACCUGGGAAAGCGAAGAUGGCAAACAGUCUCGUCUGCUGAUCAUAGUACCGAAGUCCAUGAUCCCGAAAGUAUUGAAAGAAUAUCACAAUGGACCUAGUGGAGGGCACCUUGGAAUUACAAAAACUAUAGAGAAGAUUAAACAACGGUUCUACUGGAUCGGUUGUCGAGAUUCCAUAGCAGAAUGGAUAAGUAAUUGCGUAGAGUGCAUGGCAGCUAAAGGUCCUAAAGCCAAAAGUCGCGGUAGGCUACAACAGUACAACGUGGGAUCACCAUUUGAACGAGUCGCAAUGGAUGUUGCAGGUCCGUUCCCAACCAGUACGGCCGGAAACAAAUAUCUACUGGUUGUCAUGGACUAUUUCAGUAAAUGGCCAGAAGUAUAUGCCUUACCAAACCAAGAAGCGAAGACAGACCGAAGCGUUUGUAGAAAAUUGGAUAACAAAGUUCGGAGUGCCCGUCGAAUUACACUCAGAUCAAGGCAGGAAUUUCGAAUCUUCCAUUUUCCAAGAAGUCUGUACAUUAUUGGGCAUCCACAAGACACGGACAACAGCGUUACAUCCACAAUCAGAUGGAAUGGUGGAGAGAUUCAACCGAACGCUCGAAGAACAUCUGCGGAAAAUCGUUGAUAAAGAUCAAGGGAAUUGGGACAAGUGCAUCCAGAUGUUCCUGCUGGCGUAUCGUUCAGCGAAGCACGAGACAACUGGUUACACGCCAGCAAAGAUUAUUUUCGGAUCUGAUCUGCGACUCCCUGCUGAUCUUAAGUUUGGAACGAAUCCUACAGCUGUAAGAAAUGAUGGAGAUUAUUGUUCUGCCUUAAAGGAAGAAAUGAAUGAAUUGCAUCUAAUGGUAAGACAGCAUACGCAUCUGAUGAGCAAUAAGAUGAUGGACCGGUUCGAUCAAGCGGCAAAUUCAAAAGGUUUUGAAGAAGGUGAUUAUGCCGGUGCACCAAGAAGAAAUAUAUGCAGUUCUUGCCCCGGCAAGGGUUUUGCAAGAGCAAGAGACUACCCCUAUUAUGAUUUUGCGCGAUAUACACGAUAUAUAUGGCACCACUUUUCGAAAUUCAAUCGGGCACUAUUGAUACAGGCAGUGAUAGGUUUCGAAAUAUCGACAUUCUCGAGAUUCGAGCCUGAACGAGAAAUGAUAAGAAAUGAGAGAGAUAUAAUAGAAAAAUAAUAUUAAUUGGAAAAAUAAAAAGAAAUUAAAAUAACGAUAUUCUCAAUAUACGAGUCUGAAAGAGAAUUGGUAAAAAUGAGAAAUAAAUAAGGAAAUUUUAUAAUUAAAAAAAAAUCGAAAAACAAUUUUAAUUAAAAAAUUUUUAUUUUAAGCAAAUAUCUAAAUAAUUACUAAAAAAUAAAUAUGUAGAAACAAUGUAGUGAAGUGUAAGUGUAUAAAAAGUGCGUAAAAUGAAAAAAAAAAUUAUCAUAUAUCGAGAAAUUGCAGAAUUAAAUUUGCGAAAUUUUCACCUCUAAAUGCAAAUAUCUCGAAAACUAUAAGUUUGCGGCGGCUAUACUUAUAUAUUUUCUUAAUCUCAUCAGCCCUAUCCAACCAUACCACUUUUAACCUUGAAAUCGUGGGAAAGUAUACUAAUAUUUCCGGAAAUAUUUUAUUCCCGAUUUCUUGGGACGGAUAGAUCAGAUAGACUUCAUCGAAAAAAUCAAGUCUUUGUUUUUAUACAUCACCCUAAUAGAAAGCGAUUGAUAAAUAACUGUCUAAUUUGAAUAAUUUUAUGUGGCAACACUACUACAUGAACUUGGUUGCUUUUGACGUGUCAUCAUACGGCCUAAAAUCAGAAAACUUAAAUACAAGUUAGAAUUGCGAAAAGUUAUUGGUGUUAGCAAGUAUAAUUAUCUUUUAAAAAUAUUUGCAUAAUAUGGAACCUUUAGUGGUCAACCAGCCUGUUGUCAUUGACAAUGGAUAUACUACAGGUUGUUUCUCACGGACCCACGUUGGCGGCAAACUUAAUGAAACUGUGUUUUUAUCAAUUUCUCUUCGUCCACAUUUUCCAUAAUGCUUCUUAAAUGCUUCCGGUCUAGAAAUCUUAUUAUAUGGAUCGCGGUAGUAGUCUCUAAA